ACACUGUUGGGACGCUCUGCUAAGAGGAGGAAGGAAUGGGCAACGGUAGGUCAGCAUGCCCCGAAUUAUCCGGGCUACACGCGGGCUACAAUGGUCAGGACAAUGGGUAUCGACACCGAGAGGUGGAGGCAAUCUCCUAAACCUGUCCUUAGUUCGGAUUGUGGGCUGCAACUCGCCCACAUGAAGCUGGAAUCCGUAGUAAUCGCGUUUCAAAUAGCGCGGUGAAUAUGUCCCUGGCUCCUU
rnacentral:rRNA from 1 species